rnacentral:rRNA from 1 species
GUAGGUGGCAAGCGUUGUCCGGAAUUAUUGGGCGUAAAUCGCGCGCAGGCGGUUCUUUAAGUCUGAUGUGAAAGCCCACGGCUCAACCGUGGAGGGUCAUUGGAAACUGGAGAACUUGAGUACAGAAGAGGAAAGCGGAAUUCCACGUGUAGCGGUGAAAUGCGUAGAGAUGUGGAGGAACACCAGUGGCGAAGGCGGCUUUCUGGUCUGUAACUGACGCUGAGGCGCGAAAGCGUGGGGGAGCAAACAGGAUUAGAUACCCUGGUAGUCCACGCCGUAAACGAUGAGUGCUAAGUGUUAGGGGGUUUCCGCCCCUUAGUGCUGCAGCUAACGCAUUAAGCACUCCGCCUGGGAGUACGGCCGCAAGGCUG